rnacentral:rRNA from 1 species
GACGGAGGAUGCAAGUGUUAUCCGGAAUCACUGGGCGUAAAGCGUCUGUAGGUGGUCAAAUAAGUCAACUGUUAAAUCUUGAGGCUCAACCUCAAAACCGCAGUCGAAACUAUUAGACUAGAGUAUAGUAGGGGUAAAGGGAAUUUCCAGUGGAGCGGUGAAAUGCGUAGAUAUCGGGAGGAACACCAGUGGCGAAGGCGACUUCCUGGCCUGUUCUUGACGCUGAGGCGCGAAAGCUAGGGGAGCAAACGGG